UGCAUACUCCCUCCGUUCGGAAUUACUUGUCUCGGAAAUGAAUGUAUCUAGAACUAAAAUAUGUCUAAUUGUCUAGAUACAUCCAUUUCUGACAAGUAAUUCCGAACGGAGGGAGUAGUAA
rfam:Triticum aestivum genome assembly, contig: Triticum_aestivum_CS42_TGACv1_scaffold_222118_3B